GUGGGGAAUCUUGCGCAAUGGGCGAAAGCCUGACGCAGCCAUGCCGCGUGGAUGAUGAAGGUCUUAGGAUUGUAAAAUCCUUUCACCAGUGAAGAUAAUGACUGUAGCCGGAGAAGAAGCCCCGGCUAACUUCGUGCCAGCAGCCGCGGUAAUACGAAGGGGGCUAGCGUUGCUCGGAUUUACUGGGCGUAAAGGGCGCGUAGGCGGACAUUUAAGUCAGGGGUGAAAUCCCGGGGCUCAACAUCGGAACUGCCUUUGAUACUGGGUGUCUUGAGUAUGAGAGAGGUGUGUGGAACUCCGAGUGUAGAGGUGAAAUUCGUAGAUAUUCGGAAGAACACCAGUGGCGAAGGCGACACACUGGCUCAUUACUGACGCUGAGGCGCGAAAGCGUGGGGAGCAAACAGGAUUAGAUACCCCAGUAGUCC
rnacentral:rRNA from 1 species